rnacentral:rRNA from 1 species
UCGGAGGGAUCAUUACCGAGUUUACAACUCCCAAACCCCUGUGAACAUACCAAUUGUUGCCUCGGCGGAUCAGCCCGCUCCCGGUAAAACGGGACGGCCCGCCAGAGGACCCCUAAACUCUGUUUCUAUAUGUAACUUUUGAGUAAAACCAUAAAUAAAUCAAAACUUUCAACAACGGAUCUCUUGGUUCUGGCAUCGAUGAAGAACGCAGCAAAAUGCGAUAAGUAAUGUGAAUUGCAGAAUUCAGUGAAUCAUCGAAUCUUUGAACGCACAUUGCGCCCGCCAGUAUUCUGGCGGGCAUGCCUGUUCGAGCGUCAUUUCAACCCUCAAGCCCUCGGGUUUGGUGUUGGGGAUCGGCGAGCCCUUGCGGCAAGCCGGCCCCGAAAUCUAGUGGCGGUCUCGCUGCAGCUUCCAUUGCGUAGUAGUAAAACCCUCGCAACUGGUACGCGGCGCGGCCAAGCCGUUAAACCCCCAACUUCUGAAUGUUGACCUCGGAUCAGGUAGGAAUACCCGCUGAACUUAAGCAUAUCAA